rnacentral:rRNA from 1 species
UACGAAGGGGGGCUAGCGUUGUUCGGAAUCACUGGGCGUAAAGGGCGCGUAGGCGGCUAUUCAAGUCGGGGGGUGAAAGCCUGUGGCUCAACCACAGAAUUGCCCUUCGAUACUGUUUGGCUUGAGACCGGAAGAGGACAGCGGAACUGCGAGUGUAGAGGUGAAAUUCGUAGAUAUUCGCAAGAACACCAGUGGCGAAGGCGGCUCACUGGCCCGAUACUGACGCUGAGGUGCGAAAGCGUGGGGAGCAAAUAGG